rnacentral:rRNA from 1 species
UACGUAGGGUGCGAGCGUUGUCCGGAAUUAUUGGGCGUAAAGAGCUCGUAGGCGGUUUGUCGCGUCUGCUGUGAAAUCCCGAGGCUCAACUUCGGGCUUGCAGUCGAUACGGGCAGGCUAGAGUUCGGUAGGGGAGACUGGAAUUCCUGGUGUAGCGGUGAAAUGCGCAGAUAUCAGGAGGAACACCAAAGGCGAAGGCAGUGUCCUGG